GCGGAGUCGUGGGCGUGCUCGCGGGUCGUGGCCGGAGAUUUCGGCCGGGUGGUUGGAGAAGAUGACGGGCGGGGCCCGCAUGUCAGCGGCACAGGCGGCUCGGGCGCGUGAGGCGGGGCCGGUUUGGUCCGGUUGGGUCGGUUAGCAGGCCGGUUAGGCCCAUUUGGCCGGGCCGGCCGCAGUUUUCUUUUUUUUUCUUUUCCUUUAUCUUUUUCUAUUUUCUGUUUUUGAACACCAAAAUUAAUUCAAAGCUCCAAAUCACUCCAAAUAAAUUGCAACAAAAUUUGUAAAAUCAUAUUUUCAUAUGAUCUAACUUUUGGGACAAGAAUUCGCUCAAAAUAAAAUACUUAAAAAUACCUUUGCGUAUAAAAUAGCCUUUAAGGCCUUUUAGACUAUCAAAAUAAUUUGGUUUUCAAAACAAUUUCAAAAGCCAAAUUAUGGGAUAGCUAUAUAUAUGCAUU
rnacentral:lncRNA from 1 species